UUUGACGUUAGCGACAGAAGAAGCACCGGCUAACUCCGUGCCAGCAGCCGCGGUAAUACGGAGGGUGCGAGCGUUAAUCGGAAUUACUGGGCGUAAAGCGCAUGCAGGUGGUUUGUUAAGUCAGAUGUGAAAGCCCGGGGCUCAACCUCGGAAUUGCAUUUGAAACUGGCAGACUAGAGUACUGUAGAGGGGGGUAGAAUUUCAGGUGUAGCGGUGAAAUGCGUAGAGAUCUGAAGGAAUACCGGUGGCGAAGGCGGCCCCCUGGACAGAUACUGACACUCAGAUGCGAAAGCGUGGGGAGCAAACAGGAUUAGAUACCCUGGUAGUCCACGCCGUAAACGAUGUCUACUUGGAGGUUGUGGCCUUGAGCCGUGGCUUUCGGAGCUAACGCGUUAAGUAGACCGCCUGGGGAGUACGGUCGCAAGAUUAAAACUCAAAUGAAUUGACGGGGGCCCGCACAAGCGGUGGAGCAUGUGGUUUAAUUCGAUGCAACGCGAAGAACCUUACCUACUCUUGACAUCCAGAGAACUUUCCAGAGAUGGAUUGGUGCCUUCGGGAACUCUGAGACAGGUGCUGCAUGGCUGUCGUCAGCUCGUGUUGUGAAAUGUUGGGUUAAGUCCCGCAACGAGCGCAACCCUUAUCCUUGUUUGCCAGCGAGUAAUGUCGGGAACUCCAGGGAGACUGCCGGUGAUAAACCGGAGGAAGGUGGGGACGACGUCAAGUCAUCAUGGCCCUUACGAGUAGGGCUACACACGUGCUACAAUGGCGCAUACAGAGGGCAGCCAACUUGCGAAAGUGAGCGAAUCCCAAAAAGUGCGUCGUAGUCCGGAUUGGAGUCUGCAACUCGACUCCAUGAAGUCGGAAUCGCUAGUAAUCGUGGAUCAGAAUGCCACGGUGAAUACGUUCCCGGGCCUUGUACACACCGCCCGUCACACCAUGGGAGUGGGCUGCAAAAGAAGUAGGUAGUUUAACCUUCGGGAGGACGCUUACCACUUUGUGGUUCAUGACUGGGGUGAAGUCGUAACAAGGUAGCGCUAGGGGAACCUGGCGCUG
rnacentral:rRNA from 1 species